GGAGAAAAAGUAAAAAAUAGUGAGAAAGAAGGGAAGAGAAGUGAAGUGAAGGCUUGGCAUGAUGAAAAACCAAAGCUUUGUUUUUUCUCCAACACUCUAACUCUCUUCUUCUCUUAUCUUUCACCAAUGUUGUCAUCUCCAGUAUUGCUCUCUCUCACCCUCUUCCUCUCCCUCCCUCUCCUCCUCCUCCUCUCCCCUCACCUCCUCUUCUCGCCGCCGGACGCCGACGACCUCGCCCUCUUCCGCCGCGCCGCCGCCCCACACACCACCUCCCACCUCUCCUCCACCCCGAAAAUCGCCUUCCUCUUCCUCACCAACUCCAACCUCACCUUCUCCCCUCUCUGGGAAACCUUCUUCUCAGCCUCCCACACCCACCUCUUCAACAUCUACAUCCACGCCCACCCGCCAAUCCAACCGCCCGGCGGCCCCUUCCCCCGCUCCCGCUUCAUCCCUUCAAAACCCACCUCCCGCGCCUCCCCAUCUCUCAUCGCCGCCGCGCGCCGCCUCAUCGCCGCCGCACUCCUCCACGACCCCCUCAACCUCUACUUCGCCCUCCUCUCCCAGCACUGCAUCCCCCUCCACUCCCUCCCCUUCACCCACAACUACCUCUUCAAAAACCCCACCUUUCCCCACCGCAGCUUCAUCGAGAUCCUCUCCCAGGACCCCAACCUCGAAGCGCGUUACGACGCGCGUCCUCCCAUGCUCCCCGAAGUCCCCUUCUCCUCCUUCCGCGUCGGCUCCCAGUUCUUCAUCCUCACCCGCCGCCACGCGCGCAUCGUCGUCCGUGACCGCCGCCUCUGGAACAAGUUCCGCCUCCCCUGCCUCACCCCGGAACCCUGCUACCCCGAAGAACACUACUUCCCCACUCUCCUCUCCAUGGAGGAUCCGAAUGGCUCCACCGGGUUCACCCUCACCCGUGUCAACUGGACCGGCUCUUGGGACGGCCACCCCCAUACCUACACCGCGCCGGAGAUCUCGCCGGAACUUAUCCACCGCCUCAGGCACUCCAACUCCAGCUAUGUUUACCUCUUCGCCAGAAAGUUUGCUCCGGAGUGCCUCCAACCGUUGAUGGAAAUAGCCCAUGACGUCAUUUUCCGGGAUUGAAAUGAAACAAGUUGGGGUUAUGAGCUGUGAUUAAAGAAGUGUUUUUGUUGUUGUGAUUGGGGGCAUCUUUGGGAAGAGAAAGGGUUGUGUUGAUGAUGUUGAAUACAAAUGUGUGUACAGAAGAUCUGAUUUCUUUAAUUGUAAAUCUUGUUUGUGAACAGAUAGAGAGAGGCAAAAUGGUUUCCAAAGGAGACCACAUGGUAGAAUGUUGAGAAUUGUAUUGUUAAAAGUUUAAUGCAAAAGUUUAACCUUUUAGAAGAAGAUGGAUCUAUAUAUUAUCUA